AAAUUGUGUUUUCACUUGACCUUAGGAGUGUUAUUUUGAGUGUAUUUUAAUAUCUGUACUCAGGUGUUUCCCUCUGUGAUCCAUCCCCUUCAGAGCUGAGACACUCAGGACUGAACAGACUGCACAGUUUCUGUGACUGAGCCUCCAAAACAUCUUCUUUGAAACCACACAUGAUAGAAGGGCUUUAUAUUUGCAGCAGCACUACUAAAGUCGGCAGGAAUGUUGCUGCAGGAAAACAUCCCUGCAGAUCACCAUCAUUGUCAGACUGACUGUGCCUCCUCUGUGCAGUGUCAAGAUCCUCCCUAAAUGAGUGUCUAUCCUGCUUCUGUGCUGCUUGCCACACAUCAAACACUGGCCGGAUGACAGGGAGGAUCCACUCUGAAGUCACUGGACAUGAUGAGGAUCAUAUGGGACUUUAUAGUUUCACAGAAAUGUUGUGCUCUUUGAUUACAGGUUUUAAAUGGACAUAAUGACUGCCUCUCUCUGAUCUGACAGGCUAAAGGAUUGUUUUCAUUGUUAGUGCUCUGUACAGUGUAUGCUUAUUUAAUAUUUCAUCACAGAGCAAACCUUUAUUUAUUUAACAUAUUUUUAUUUUGUUUUA